CCGCCCCUCCUGCAGCAGCUUAGUCUCGUCGACGAAGCAGGCGAGGCGCAAGUCAACUCAAACACGCCUACUAUUUACAACCACAAAAUGCGGAAAGCCAAUCGCUAGUCCCACGGCUCCUGGAGGAUGGCGUACGCCCGUGCUGGGGAUGUACGGCUGGAUGGGAGAUUCAGUCCAGUUGAUAGGGUUGUCAAUGAAGCCGCAGCACAAUGGCAUUCAUUGAUUCAUGUCUGGCCCUGCGUGAACCUGUCAACUUGCGUGGACUGGCGAGGGGUCCAAAGCCCACUAUCGCGAGAGUAAACUGCGUCGACCUAAGAAGCGUUUUUCUUCUGGUGGGUGCGCUAUGAACCAAGUAUGUUCAUAAAUGGAGAUCCUCUGUGGAGGGCCAGACUUUUGGACACGAAUCCCCAGGCCAUAACAGAAGCUGAUCACAGGUUCCUCUUGAGUGGGGCAGACGUCAUCACCACGGCCACGUACCAGGCGAGCGUUCAGGGUUUUGAAACCCACCUGGGCAUGAGCGCCGAACGCGCCAGGGAGCUGCUGAUGUCUGGGGUUCAUCUUGCCAGAGAGGCGGUGAAGAAAUUUGGCUCUGGGAAUACGGGCCCCUUGGUGGCGGGCUCUAUUGGAUGGUAUGGAGCUUAUCUGCAUGAUACCUCGGAGUACACUGGGACUUUUGCAGAGAAGAUGACUGUUGAAGAGCUGAAAGAUUGGCAUCGGCCGCAGGUGGAGGGCUUAUUAGCAGCUGGAGCUGACCUCCUGGCCUUUGAGAUGAUCCCAAGUAUCAAAGAGGCCAAAGCCGUGGUGGAGCUGCUGGCAGAGUUCCCAGACUCCAGCGCCUGGCUGUCCUUCUCCUGUAAGGAUGAGAAGCACAUUUCAGACGGCUCCACCUUCGCAGAGGCCGUGGAGGUCGCCAGCAGGUCGGCGCAGCUGCUCGCCGUGAGAGUCAACUGCUGCUCCCCAACGGUGGUGGAGCCGCUCCUGGACUCUGCCAGCUCUCAGCUGAGCCCAGACACGAGCUGGGUGGAGUACCCCAACAGCGGCUGGGAGUACGACUCCGAGCAGAAGACUGAAGGACGGACUGACUGCAGUGAGGAGAAGCAGAAAAGGAGACGUCUACAGCGGGGUAGUGGUUCACACUGCAGCUCACAGUGAGAAGCUCCCGGUUCAAAUCCCAGCUGGGUUUGUGGAGUUCUCCUCCUUCAUGCGUGGGUUUUCUCCGGGAAUUCCGGCUUCCUUACAGUCCCAGUAAUAGGUUAGUCGGUAGAUCAAAAUUGUCCCUUUGGUGGGAAUUUAAAUGUGUGUGAUGGACUGAUGAAGGAUGUCCAACAGUAGUGGAUAGGCUCCAGCAACCCUGAACAGGAUUAAGCAGGUUUGGGAGAUCCAUGAAGAUGUGUUUACAUCCGGCUAUACCAACAAUAAUUUGAAAAACAAACUGAAAAGAUCUUAAUUUGCAGCAAACUAGUUUUAUUGUGAGAUAAUAGAACUGGACAUUAUCAGAUGCAAUCUGUCUUGAAGACUUAUGUAUAUUACAUUGGGUUCCGUAUGUUGGCAAUCGCAGUGUGUGCACGGGUCAAGUGCCUUUGUAUGAUCUCCAAGAAUAACAGUCCAGAUGAUGAUUUUAUCUUCUUUUCCUCUUUAAUUGCAGGAAACUAUACAGCAACUCUUCUCUAUAAACGUCUCUCUGGUUUUAUGCAUUCAUGCAUUAGAGGGUGUAUAUGUGUGUGGUUCGCUCACUUGAGCUUAUAAAACCGAACUGCUCUGUAACAUUACUUUCUGCUGCUCUGUUUACUUUCGGUUUCAACUUAUCCCUUUUAAUACUGAAAAAACGUCCACGCCCUCUAGAGGCGAACUUGAGAACAACACCUCAGUCCAUCUUCAUAUGAAGUGCUUGCAGGUGUGUGUGUGCUGCUCUCUGCGUCUUUUUUUUCUCCCCAAAACCAGCAGCCCCGCUCCAGAGUCUGCUCACUACUCACACACACACCAAAACAGGGACGCACACGCGCCAGCACACAGAUCCAGUGAGCCGACCGAGCGGGUGGGCGGGGCUUUGGGUGCAAACAGCAGCAGAUAGCGGUUCUUCUUUGCAGAAACACGGGUUAAUGUCUUUAGAUUUUUAAAUCAUCACCCAUGAUGGCAAAAAACAGACAAAGUUCUAGCAGAAGAGCGGAGCGGACUCCGCUUCGCGGCGCUUCCGCGUCCAGAGUGAAUUGGGGGUGACGCGCUCCCCGUCCCGGUAGCUGGUGGUUCGGAGGUUUGAUUCAGAUCCACCAGCUCCUCUCAUUUUUGACCGAGCAUCGCUCCGUCCGGGUCGGUCCCGCUUCAUCUGCGGGUCUGCGGUUGCGCUUUCGGUGCUGUGAUCUAAUUGGACCACCCAACUCGGUACAUUUUGACAGAAGGGUUCCCUCAAAGCUUCAAGUUUCCACGAUGAGUCGGGAGUGAGAAUGCAUGAAGUGGACGGAGGAUCCAUUUUGAUUUGGUGACCCGAACAAAAGUUCUUUGUUUAUCCAAAACAAUGUUUGCAGCGUGUUUGUGAGUGAGGACUCAGACAAAAACUUUGCACCAGGCUAGAGCAACAGAGCAGAGACACGAGAGUUAGGCCCGUCCACUGAGUUUGACGAGAGAAUCUGACAGUUUGCAUUUUCAUGGUGUGUCCACUUCCUGUUUCAUGAAAUGUAUAAUGAAAUCAUGAAAUAAAUAAAUAUAUUAUGAAAUGUUAAAAAUGGCU
ensembl:lncRNA